rnacentral:rRNA from 1 species
AGUGAACGCUGGCGGUAGGCCUAACACAUGCAAGUCGAACGGCAGCACAGUAAGAGCUUGCUCUUACGGGUGGCGAGUGGCGGACGGGUGAGGAAUACAUCGGAAUCUACUUUUUCGUGGGGGAUAACGUAGGGAAACUUACGCUAAUACCGCAUACGACCUACGGGUGAAAGCAGGGGAUCUUCGGACCUUGCGCGAUUGAAUGAGCCGAUUUCGGAUUAGCUAGUUGGCGGGGUAAAGGCCCACCAAGGCGACGAUCCGUAGCUGGUCUGAGAGGAUGAUCAGCCACACUGGAACUGAGACACGGUCCAGACUCCUACGGGAGGCAGCAGUGGGGAAUAUUGGACAAUGGGCGCAAGCCUGAUCCAGCCAUACCGAGUGGGUGAAGAAGGCCUUCGGGUUGUAAAGCCCUUUUGUUGGGAAAGAAAAGCAGCAGGUUAAUACCCCGCUGUUCUGACGGUACCCAAAGAGUAAGCACCGGCUAACUUCGUG